AGAGUUUGAUCCUGGCUCAGAGCGAACGCUGGCGGCAGGCUUAACACAUGCAAGUCGAGCGGGCGUAGCAAUACGUCAGCGGCAGACGGGUGAGUAACGCGUGGGAACGUACCUUUUGGUUCGGAACAACACAGGGAAACUUGUGCUAAUACCGGAUAAGCCCUUACGGGGAAAGAUUUAUCGCCGAAAGAUCGGCCCGCGUCUGAUUAGCUAGUUGGUGAGGUAAUGGCUCACCAAGGCGACGAUCAGUAGCUGGUCUGAGAGGAUGAUCAGCCACAUUGGGACUGAGACACGGCCCAAACUCCUACGGGAGGCAGCAGUGGGGAAUAUUGGACAAUGGGGGCAACCCUGAUCCAGCCA
rnacentral:rRNA from 1 species